rnacentral:rRNA from 1 species
CCUACGGGAGGCAGCAGUGAGGAAUAUUGGUCAAUGGGCGGGAGCCUGAACCAGCCAAGUCGCGUGAGGGAAGACGGUCCUAUGGAUUGUAAACCGCUUUAGGCGGGGAGCAAUGCCGGGCACGCGUGCCCGGAGGGAGAGUACCCGCAGAAUAAGCAUCGGCAAACUCCUUGCCAGCAGCCGCGGUAAUACGGGGGAUGCGAGCGUUACCCGGUUUUUUUGGGUUAAAAGGUUCCGUAGGCGGAUUUUUAAGUCAGCGGUAAAAUGUCCGGGCUCAACCCGGGCCGGCCGUUGAAACUGGGGAUCUUGAGUGGGCGAGAAGUAUGCGGAAUGCGUGGUGUAGCGGUGAAAUGCAUAGAGAUCACGCAGAACUCCGAUUGCGAAGGCAGCAUACCGGCGCCCGACUGACGCUGAGGCACGAAAGCGUGGGGAUCGAACAGGAUUAGAUACCCCUGUAGUC